rnacentral:lncRNA from 1 species
GUUUCAGUUUUCUGAACCGAACACGGCCCCUGGCCUACAAGAACGGGGCCGGCCUUAUGCCUCGUACACCUUGCACUCGUCGGUCUCGGGGUUGUCCUUGCAGAAGUCCUCCAGAGGGUCGCCGCUGCCGCCCGCCGCCGCCGCGCCCGGCCACUUGGCCGCCACCAGGUGCGCCAAAUCAACCACGCGUUGGCUGCACGCACGCAACCCCAGCGAGCGUUAGCAAAUAUACUGUCAGUGUGCGCAACGCGCAGUUUCAGUUGCAGAUGCAGAUAAGCACGUACCUGUAGCCCCACUCGUUGUCGUACCAGGCGACGACCUUGACCAUGUCGUCGCCCAUGACCAUGGUGAGCGAGGAGUCGAUGGAGGAGGACACGUCGGAGCACCUGAAGUCGACGGACACGAGCGGCUCGUCGCAGACCUGCAGCACGCCCUUGAGCGGGCCGGCGGCGGCCUUGCGGAACGCCGCGUUAACGUCGUCGGCCGUCAUGCCCUUCUUCUCCGUGUUGAUCACCAGGUCCACCACGGACACGUUCGGGGUCGGCACGCGGAGCGCGAUGCCGUUCAGCUUGCCCUUCAGCUGGGGAAGCACCAGGGCAACGGCCUUGGCAGCGCCGGUGCUCGUCGGCACGAUGUUCAGGGCCGCCGCACGGGCCCUCCUCAGGUCGCGGUGGGACGCGUCCAGCAGCCGCUGGUCGCCGGUGUAUGAGUGUGUCGUCGUCAUGGUUCCCUUCACAAUCCCUGCACAUCAUCGCGAAAACAUUCGUCAGAUGAGUGUGUCCAGUGUCUGACUCGUGGGGCGCACUUAUCAGACUGUGUGGUCAGGAACAGGAAAUAAGCAAAAAAGUUCUCACCGAACUCUUCGUCCAAGACCUUGACGAAUGGGGCGAGGCAGUUGGUCGUGCAGGAAGCAUUGCUGCAAGCAACAGAGUUGUGAUGCAGAUGAAUGUUAGGAUGAUACAGGGUCCCCUGAAUGACAUAGCGUAUAUGCCGGCACCGGCAGGAAUCAGGAUGCAGAGCAGUGCUGAAGCGCACACUGAAGCUUGAUUACCUGAUAAUGUCGGCCACGCCGUGGUCGUAGUCGCCCUCGUUGACACCGACGACAUAGGUCGGGAUGUCGGCGCCCUUCGCCGGAGCAGUGAUGAUGACCUUCUUCGCGCCGGCCUGGAUGUGCUUCCCGGCGCCGGGGCCGUCGACGAACACUCCGGUACCCUUCACGACGCAGUUCCGCACCGUCAGUUUCGCCUUCUAGGCAACCGAAGCAUGCAUGGACAGUUUUACGCUGGGGAUCUUGUGUACCUCGAUGACAAUGUCAAUGCCCAUCUCAGCCCAUGGGAGCUUGAGUGGGUCCCUGCUGGAGACGACCUUGAUGGGCUUGCCGUCAACGCUGAUGGUGGUGUCGUCGACAAUCUUGACGUCGGCCUUGAAGGUGCCGAGCAUCGAGUCGUACUUGAGGAGGUGAGAUGCCUGAAAUUCAUUCAAUUCAAACGCGCAUCAAGUUUCUGUCAGAAUACGUGGGAAGAGCGAGAGCCUGAAGAACACAGGUGCGGCUUCAGUUGGCGUCACGUACGUUCCUGACGCCUCCGCUGUCGUUGACGACGACGACAUCGAGCGGGGAGUCCUCACGGCCGUGCCAACACCGGAGGAAGUUCCGGCCGAUGCGGCCGAACCCGUUGAUCGCCACCUUGAGCUUCGCCUCAGCAGGCGCCCUCACGGCGUUCUCUCCGGUGGCCUGUCACACAGGUUAACCAACAAAGCUGAACGUACAGUCGGGUCCAUGCCAGGUGAAUGAUUGCCAAGUUUUGCACAAAUCAGAAAUGGGAGGAAUAUUUUGACUGCACGAUGGUGUAGUAAAUUAAAAUUGUGAAAAUCCAGAGUAUCGUUUGUUGUCCAACUGUUGGUUAACUAGUACAACUAGCAUGACAAGUGUGUCUGUAUGUGAUUAUUGUUAAAGGCCACGGUUUUAUAUAUGUUAAUCCACUGACACGACAUUUCCUACGUGAAUCUUUAGCGAAUGAACGGAUCAAACUGUCAAUCAUACCACAGUAACUUAAAAGUAUAACGGUAUCAUGUAUACUGCGGUAGGUGCUCGCACGAUCUAUAACUAAAAAGAAGUAAGCUGUACAUGCUAACCCUACAUGAUUAGCAUAUGCAUGAUGAAUCUAGCUGUCCGUACUACCUUGCUUGGAUCUACUCUUUGUUCGUUUUUCAUCAAGAGAACUGAUCGAAGCACAUAAAUUAUUGACCUAUGAUCUGUGUACACUAUGUUUUUUCAGUAAGCAGGCGCUAGAUUUCCUUACGCUACAAAGCACAUGCAUAAACGUGAUGAUUUGUCUUAGCUGCGGGUACGUACCUUGGCGACGAGCUGCGCGCCGAGCACGUCGUAGAAGGACGCCUCCCUGGCGGCGGUGCUGACGGAGCAUGAUCCCGGCCUGAGCCCGGAGAAGUCGGCGAAGUCCACCCUCUGCGCACGCACAUUAGUCACCCAGCGUUCUCAUCAUCACAAAGAGAAGGAAAAUGUCCAUCGAUCACCACGUACCUGCCUGGACGCGGCCCUGCUGUUGAGCCGGGCGCUGGUGGGGAUGCGCGACGCGGCAAGAGCUGCGUGGGUGGCCAUGUCGUCGCGCUCUAAGCUAGCUGCUGCCGGAUGGCGCCGAUGCUAAGGCAGCCAGACGAAACUGAGCCGGCGGUGGUGCUCCCAAUUUAUGUGCUGCCGGCCGGCCG